UACGGAGGGUGCGAGCGUUGUUCGGAAUCACUGGGCGUAAAGCGCGUGUAGGCGGCCUCCUAAGUCUGGUGUGAAAGCCCGGGGCUCACCCCCGGAAGUGCAUUGGAUACUGGGAGGCUGGAGUACCGAAGAGGAGGGUAGAAUUCCUGGUGUAGCGGUGAAAUGCGUAGAUAUCAGGAGGAACACCGGUGGCGAAGGCGGCCCUCUGGUCGGAUACUGACGCUGAGACGCGAAAGCGUGGGGAGCAAACAGG
rnacentral:rRNA from 1 species